rnacentral:rRNA from 1 species
AUAUCAUUAAGCGGAGGAAAAGAAACUAACAAGGAUGCCCUCAGUAACGGCGAGUGAAGUGGGCAAAGCUCAAACUGAAAAUCCGUUCCCCAAACGGGGAAUGCGAAUUGUAGUCUAUAGAUGCGCUAGCAGCAUUGGGCCGGGUAUAAAUCUUUUGAAACAAGGUGUCAUAGAGGGUGAGAACCCCGUCCAUGACUCGGUCCCCGGUGCGUACGCUGCGUGUUCAAAGAGUCGGGUUGCUUGGGAUUGCAGCCCUAAGUGGGUGGUAAACUUCAUCUAAAGCUAAAUAUUGGCGAGAGACCGAUAGCGAACAAGUACCGUGAGGGAAAGAUGAAAAGAACUUUGAAAAGAGAGUUAAAAAGUACUUGAAAUUGUUAAGAGGGAAGCACUGGAAACCAGUAUUGCUGGGCAUUGUACUCGCCUAUCAGCGGUCAUUGCUGGUGAGCCGGGAGUUCAAACCUCGGUGUUGCUAGUGAGAAGCCGUCGGUGGGUCUAGCAGUGUCUAGUAGGUCAAAAUCAAUUUGUCUCGUGGGAGAAAGCUGCGGGGAAGGUAGGGCGGAGGGGCAACCCAAAGCCUGUUAUAGCCCUGCAGUCCUACCAUGGGGUGGAUUGA